rnacentral:rRNA from 1 species
AUGUUUAGGAGCAGAUGGGCAGGCCCUUACCCUGGUGCUGCCACCAGCAACAUGAUGCUUGAGGCUGGUGACGCCGCCGCUGCGCCCAACCAUGGGGCAGUACUUGCACUUCCAGUUUCUGUUUCCGUCGAUGAUGAUACCAUGCUGCCAUCCCUUACGAUCCCUGAUUUUCAGGGAACCUUGUGCGCUCUGCCAAAUUUAGGAGUGUUAGAUAGUUGUACAGAUCAGAUCAGGUUCCAUUCGGAAAAAAAAAAGAUCAGAUCAGGUUCUCUCUGCUGCAAUCUAAAAAAGACUGCCAUGCCAGAGUUGGAGCACACGAGAUUUUUGUCUAUUGGUUUUGUGAGUUGUUUUGCCCCAUAA